rnacentral:rRNA from 1 species
UACAGAGGGUGCAAGCGUUGUUCGGAAUUAUUGGGCGUAAAGGGUGCGUAGGCGGUUUGGUAAGUCUGAUGUGAAAUCUAUGGGCUCAACUCAUAGUCUGCAUCGGAAACUGCCGGGCUUGAGUGUGGGAGAGGUGAGUGGAAUUCCUGGUGUAGCGGUGAAAUGCGCAGAUAUCAGGAGGAACACCGGUGGCGAAGGCGGGUCUCUGGGCCGAUAUUGACGCUGAGGAGCGAAAGCGUGGGGAGCAAACAGG